rnacentral:tRNA from 1 species
AUUUAUAUAGUUUAAAUAAAACAUUACAUUUUCAUUGUAAAAAUAAAAUUAAUUACUAUUUUUAUAAAUU